GGUCUUACCUUACGACGUAGACCCGGUCCGGCGAAUCAUCAUCCGUGGUUUAGCAGAGAAUUGAACUGUACCGGAGCGAUGUGUAUCGGCUAGCGAGCUAGCUGCUAACAGCUAACUAGCUUUGAGUGUUUAGCAUCAACUCCGCAACACCUUGCAGUGUAGCUUCCAGGACUAAACCGACCCGCAGUUUUGAAAAAGCGAUGCAAAUCCUGUUCUGGAUACGGCUGUUUAAACUGUAGGGGAAGUCGCCACAACCAACUAGUUCUCCGUUAACGCUACAGAAGCGUCCAUUUUCUGUCCGACUACUGUAGGAAUCAUGGCGGCUGUCACUGACUGCACUGGCCCACAAUGCAUUGCGGGACCCAAUGUAAUUGUUAAAAUAAUAGUGGGACCGUUUGAAUGAACACCACACCAUCAAGUGUUUCAGCUAUUUUUAUCUAUGCUAUUUUUUUUUAUAAUAAUUUGCUGCAGGCAUUAAAGAAGAUAUUUGGAUAAGAUUGUUUUUAUUGAAAAUUUACAACAGAUUCAAACUACAAGAAAGUAGGCCUAAUAUGCGUUGUGGAAAAGUAUUGGACUACAAGUGAUGACAGAUGCUAAAAAUGUAUAUUUCCUGACACCAUUUAGUUCUUUAAAGUGAAAGCCACAUCCAAAGGUAAUAUUUCAUAAACAGGUCUCCACUUCAAUACACAAAAUAUAUCCUUAUAAAUUAUAUAAAUGCACAGGUAUUCUUCACUAUUUGGGAUUAAAAUCCAACUACACCUUAAUAGUAAUAUUUGGCAAAUGGGUUCUACAAUUAUAAGACAGCAAAUAUACAUUAAUA